rnacentral:rRNA from 1 species
AGAGCGAACGCUGGCGGCAGGCCUAACACAUGCAAGUCGAUCGCCCGUAGCAAUACGGGAGCGGCAGACGGGAUAGUAACACGUGGGAACGCGCCCUUCGGUUCGGAAUAACUCAGGGAAACUUGAGCUAAUACCGAAUACGCCCUUACGGGGAAAGAUUUAUUGCCGAAGGAACGGCCCGCGUCCGAUUAGCUAGUUGGUGAGGUAAUGGCUCACCAAGGCUACGAUCGGUAGCUGGUCUGAGAGGAUGACCAGCAUCACUGGGACUGAGACACGGCCCAGACUCCUACGGGAGGCAGCAGUGGGGAAUAUUGGACAAUGGGCGCAAGCCUGAUCCAGCCAUGCCGCGUGGAUGAUGAAGGCCUUAGGGUUGUAAAGUCCUUUUAACGGGGAAGAUAAUGACGGUACCCGUAGAAUAAGCCCCGGCUAACUUCGUGCCAGCAGCCGC